UACGUGGGGGGCAAGCGUUGUUCGGAAUUACUGGGCGUAAAGGGCCCGUAGGCGGCCAAUUAAGUCGGAUGUGAAAUCCCCAGGCUCAACUUGGGAACUGCAUCCGAUACUGGAUGGCUUGAAUUCGGGAGAGGGAUGCAGAAUUCCAGGUGUAGCGGUGAAAUGCGUAGAUAUCUGGAGGAAUACCGGUGGCGAAGGCGGCAUCCUGGACCGACAUUGACGCUGAACGGCGAAAGCUAGGGGAGCAAACGGG
rnacentral:rRNA from 1 species